rnacentral:rRNA from 1 species
GAUGAGCAUGCGUCCCAUUAGCUAGUUGGUAAGGUAACGGCUUACCAAGGCUACGAUGGGUAGGGGUCCUGAGAGGGAGAUCCCCCACACUGGUACUGAGACACGGACCAGACUCCUACGGGAGGCCGCAGUGAGGAAUAUUGGACAAUGGGCGCAAGCCUGAUCCAGCCAUGCCGCGUGCAGGAUGACGGUCCUAUGGAUUGUAAACUGCUUUUAUACAGGAAGAAACCCUGGUUCGUGAACCAGCUUGACGGUACUGUAAGAAUAAGGAUCGGCUAACUCCGUGCCAGCAGCCGCGGUAAUACGGAGGAUCCAAGCGUUAUCCGGAAUCAUUGGGUUUAAAGGGUCCGUAGGCGGUUUAGUAAGUCAGUGGUGAAAGCCCAUCGCUCAACGGUGGAACGGCCAUUGAUACUGCUAAACUUGAAUUAUUAGGAAGUAACUAGAAUAUGUAGUGUAGCGGUGAAAUGCUUAGAGAUUACAUGGAAUACCAAUUGCGAAGGCAGGUUACUACUAAUUGAUUGACGCUGAUGGA